ACGCUCGACACCUACGGAGGCAGCAGUAGGGAAUCUUCCACAAUGGACGCAAGUCUGAUGGAGCAACGCCGCGUGAGUGAAGAAGGUUUUCGGAUCGUAAAGCUCUGUUGUUGGUGAAGAAGGAUAGAGGUAGUAACUGGCCUUUAUUUGACGGUAAUCAACCAGAAAGUCACGGCUAACUACGUCNCGCAGCGCGGUAAUCUGAGCGGGCUGGCAAGGC
rnacentral:rRNA from 1 species